GGAGGAAAAGAAACUAACAAGGAUUCCCCUAGUAACUGCGAGUGAAGCGGGAAAAGCUCAAAUUUAAAAUCUGGUAGUCUUUGGCUGCCCGAGUUGUAAUCUAGAGAAGCAUUAUCCGCGCUGGACCGUGUACAAGUGUCCUGGAAUGGACUAUCAUAGAGGGUGAGAAUCCCGUCUUUGACACGGACUCCCAGGGCUUUGUGAUGUGCUCUCAAAGAGUCGAGUUGUUUGGGAAUGCAGCUCUAAAUGGGUGGUAAAUUCCAUCUAAAGCUAAAUAUUGGCGAGAGACCGAUAGCGAACAAGUACCGUGAGGGAAAGAUGAAAAGAACUUUGGAAAGAGAGUUAAACAGUACGUGAAAUUGCUGAAAGGGAAACGCUUGAAGUCAGUCGCGUUGKCUGGGGAUCAACCUUGCUUCUUGCUUGGCUUACUUCCCAGUUGACGGGYCAGCAUCAGUUUUGACCAGUGGAUAAAGGUUAGGGGAAUGUGGCACCUCCGGGUGUGUUAUAGCCCUUGGUCAUAUACAUUGGUUGGGACUGA
rnacentral:rRNA from 1 species